CCUCUGCGAAGCCGGCACCUCCCAUCAAAAGGCAGGUCUGGGCGUCCGAGGUGUCGUGGAAAAUGUGGGCUUCAGGGGCAGGAAGACCCUCCCGCGCGCAGCGGGGCAAGGAGCUCGCGGGCCCUGGGCCUCCCCCGCCCCCGAAUAAACAAUCCGAACAAAACCUUACCUCGCAGGGCUGUUUUGAGGACUAAAUAAGCUACGGAGAAGCCCCUGGCAAAGCUUCGUGGCCCGUGGCCAGCGAUCCUGCAGUGACCCGGUAAGACACGAUGGGGAGCAGACACGCUUUAGGGCCAGAGAGGCCGGCAGUGAAACGCCAGCUCCACCACUAAGGAGCCGUACAACCCGGGGAAGGGGACCUGACGCCCCCGCGCCCCAGCCUCUUCGGCACGAAGGGGAAACGUGCCCUGUGAACAGGCUCAGACAUCAUCUCUGUACCGCAGGCUCUUAUCAUCAUUUUGCUGUUCCCCGUGACCCCCGGCCGGUGAGGGGCUGGCAGGCUGGCACGGAUGCCCUCCUCGCGGGCAGCAGCCAGGACUCAAAGUCAAGGGCAGGCCAGGGGAAGGCGCAGGGGCUGAGGGGCCAGGGUAGCUGGGUUCCUACAACGGCUCUACGGAGCCCUCCGCCUCCCCCCAGCACCACACGGCGUCCCAGCCAGGCCGAGGCAGCGUGGCCUUGGAACCUCCACCCCCGGCAGGAAGCGCCUCGGGGCCGGGUUUCCAGGGGGAAGGAUCCCCCCUCAAUGCAGGGUGCGGCCCCCGUGUGCACACGGACACCAGUGGUAUAAACCUGCAGAACAGGCACCCAGGGCCUCUUCAGACACAAGACAAGGCUCCCUGAGAAACCCAGCAGGGGCCUGCCCACCCCUGAUGCUAAGGCUUGCCCCCGCAGCGGCUCCCUACAUGUCCUGCCCCACAGAGCUCCUGCACGUGCGGUGUGGGCGGUUAUGGGGAAGGAGCUGGCAUGGGGCCCUCAGGGUAGAGAAAUAAUGGAGGGAGGGAGGUCAGUAGGAUGGGAGUGUCCACUGCCUGGCCUGGCCCAGGGACUGGGUCUAAUUCCUACUCAGAGCAAUAAGGAAAGAGCAGGACAUCUCAUGAUAGGCCUAAGGAGACUCGGGCCCAGGGAUAAGGAGGUAUACGGAAUGUGGGAGAGGGGCUGCCCCUUACGGCCCCCUUCUGCAUGGAAACAGGGGUAGCAAAGUCCUUCCUUUGGGCCUAGGCGUAGCUAGAGGAGGCCAGAGCAGAGUAUCACAGUGGCCUGGCUUCUGAGCACACUGGAGGCGCCUCCUGGGACCCCCAGGGAUGAGGGCAACAGCAAAUGGGGGCCAGAGCGGUGAUGCCUGUGAAUAUGACUCUCCUGAGACCUCGGUGUCUGGCAUUGUGCAGGAGCUGCACAAGCCUGUGCUAAACCAGGAAAUGGGGAGACCUCGUGAAAAUCACCUGAGGGCAGAGGGAGGAGGCCCAUCAACUUUGGCCAAGAGAAGGACAGGAGCUUCAGGGAGAUGGGGUGGGGGCUGCGAUGGGCAGGUGAAGAGGGGAACUGCUUGGCACAAAGCGGGCUGCAGGGAGGGUAGGCGGGUCAUCCGCAGGCAACAGCACAGCCGGGGUCCGUGUCAUAUGUGAAAGUCACACACUCGACCCCAAUGUGUGACCAGUGGUCAAGCUCCUUCCACAAAACUUUCUCUGAUUUGAGGACCAAAGUGAAGCACGAAGGCAGGUCUUCACAAUGUCUGCUAACCAGUGCUUGGUCUUCCUGUAGAACCAAAAUCAAACUCCAAAAAAAUCAAACUCCGAACACAUAGAGCACAAGUGUUCAAAGCUGGGCCAAGCCUCUGACAAAUGAUGGCAGGUGGCCCCCCUGGGCUUCUCAGAUGGCUGCCCUUGAAAUCACUGUGUCAGGCCUGGAAAACUGCCCCAAACUUCCAGAGAGGGAUGGAUAUAGCAGGAACCCCGACUCUCGCAACACUGUCCAAUCUCCGGGUACACGUAGAAAAAGAGGGAUAUUCCUAAUAAUAAAAGCAAUUCACAGGGCUGUAAAAAAAAACCUGCUGUGCCCACACAAUGGAAUACUACUUAGCAAUAAAAAGGACUAAGUCACUGAUAACCAGGACUAAAUGGAUGAACUACAAAAUAAUUAUAGGCUCACAGAAGCCAGAGAGUACAAACUGCAAGAUUCCAUUUACAUAAAAUUUUAGGGAAUUUAAACUGAGUAACGGUGACAGACAGCGCCUCAGGAGUUGCCUCGUAGGAAACUAGUAGGGAUGAGUGAGGGAGGGGAUUACCAAGGGCAUGAUGGAUAUGUCCUGGGGG
rnacentral:lncRNA from 1 species